rnacentral:misc_RNA from 1 species
UUUCCGUAGGUGAACCUGCGGAAGGAUCAUUAUUGGAUUUUGAAACUUCAGGCUGCUGCUGGCUCUCCUCGGAGGGCAUGUGCACGCUUGUUGUCCAUUGUUUCUCCCACUGUGCACAAAUUGUAGACCUUUCAGUAGGCCUAUGUUGUUUUUCACAAUCUCUGAAUGUAAUAGAAUGGUUUUGAAUCUUGGGAAAUACAAUACAACUUUCAGCAACGGAUCUCUUGGCUCUC